rnacentral:rRNA from 1 species
AUUGAACGCUGGCGGCAUGCCUUACACAUGCAAGUCGAACGGCAGCACGGGGGCAACCCUGGUGGCGAGUGGCGAACGGGUGAGUAACAUAUCGGAACAUACCCUAGAGUGGGGGAUAACGUAGCGAAAGUUACGCUAAUACCGCAUACGAUCUAAGGAUGAAAAGUGGGGGAUCUUCGGACCUCAUGCUCAUGGAGUGGCCGAUAUCUGAUUAGCUAGUUGGUGAGGUAAAGGCUCACCAAGGCGACGAUCAGUAGCUGGUUUGAGAGAACGACCAGCCACACUGGAACUGAGACACGGUCCAGACUCCUACGGAGGCAGCAGUGGGAAUUUUGGUACAAUGGGGGCAACCCUGAUCAGCAAUGCGCGUGAGCGAAGAAGCCCUUU